UGCCCGAUGGUGUAAUUGGCAACACUGGGGAUUCUGGUUCCCUCAUUCCAGGUUCAAAUCCUGGUCGGGCAA
rnacentral:tRNA from 1 species